ensembl:lncRNA
UAUCCAGAACCAUGGGUGUCAACGUUUCAGUAGUAAAUCAAACUCCUUACACCUGGUACUUUGACACCCAGGACAAAAGAGGGGUAAGAUCUUACAAUGCAAUUCUUUUUUCCUAGUUAGCAUUUCCUGUAAUUAGCCAGACAAUAACUGAGAGAAUGACAUAAUAUCUCACAACAAUAUCAGUUUAUAUUUACGUGUCUUUUUUUCACUGCUUUUCUGAUGGAAACUGAUGUAUAAUUCUGCCCCCCAGUAUAAACGCAUCGGUCCUCGCUGCAGGACAUCCUAUGAAGAGGCUCUGGCAAUCCAUCGCUACAUCUACAUCAGAUAUAAAAAUCACUCAUGGAAUAGUUUUUCAUAUGAGUUUAACACCCAUAAACGUAAAGGCGACACGUCUUUUAUCCUAAAAGAAACCCUCGACCGUUCCCAGAUUCAGUUGGACUGCACCUCUGAGGGCAGCACUCAUUACUGUCCCAACUACGGAAAAAUUGAAGAAGAUGAUAAACGGAGACAGCAAGAAGAGGAGAGAAGACGUCUGGAACGUUUGGAACGUGAACAAAGGAUUCAACAGGAGCUGGACAGAGAGAGUGAACUGUCCAGACGCAAGCUUUCUCGAGCAACUGAGCGGCUUCGUGAAAAACAGAGCUUCAGAGGUCAUGAGAAACAUCAUGAACGUACACAAGUUCUCCAACAGCAAAUAGAAGAUGAUGCUGCUGCUAUUGAAUGGAAUGAGGUUAUUAUUGUUGAAGAAAAAUUCAAAGACCUUUUAUUGAAGUACCAGAUCGCAGAAGAUAAAGAAAUGCAGCACUACCACGAUUUGGAGCAGGAUUAAGAUACUCCUGAAUGAAUUGCAGUUCAAUAUUGUAGAGAAAACAACCUUUCACUAUGGUCUCAGUUUACCUUUGAUCAAGCUGUAAGAUAUAACGAACUGUCUCUUACAGAGAAGCUCACAGUUCUUGAGGCAUCUCUACAGUUCAUUAUGCACAGUAGCACUGAAGAUGCUAAAGAUGAUGAAGAUCAGCCGCUUGGUUGGGAGAAGAAGUACGACUUUUUCUUGGGUUUGGUUGAGCAGCUUCAUGCCACAAGUCCAACUUUGGCGGAACACAUUUUAUUAAAUGUGCUUGACACAAUCUCAGAGCUUUCACCACAAAGUAGGGACAUUUUGGGUCAGAUGUUGUUCAACAGAAUCUGGACACCAACAGAAAUAAUGCUCUUACUUUGCAGAAGUCCAGCUAUCAAAUGCCAUCAACUCGAUUCAGUUCUCCACACAGCACAAACCUACCACCUGGACUGCAUCCUCGUUAUCUCUGCUCUUAUGAAUGAAAACCCUUUAAACUUUCUUCUAGAACAAAUAAAAAACGACAAGGAAAAAGAUGCUGAUACAAUUGUGAAGGAACUUCAUGAAGCAAACUGCCCAGAGAAAGUCUUGGUGCUGCUGAAGGAUGUUCUUAGAUACAUGGAGUCGGAACUCCCAAAACUAGGAACCAAGGAACAAAUUACUGAAUUGAAAGGAAAGAUAAGAUCUCUUAAUUUUACAAACCUAGAUAUCAACCUUUUGAAAGACGUAUUAAUUGGGAUGUCAAUAGCAGUGCAAGAGUGCUCAACAAUCAUCACAAAAGAAGAUAUGAAAAUUGAAGGCUAUUUUCCGAGACUUACACAGCUAGCAUCAUUGCUUUUGCUUCUUCUGACAGAAAAUAAAGGAUGUCUCCUAGAGAUUGGCACAGGUGAGGGCAAGUCCUGUAUCUUAGCCAUGUUUGCAACAAUUCUGGCUAUUCGUGGAACAAAAGUGGACAUUGUGACAAGCUCUCCAGUUCUCGCCCUACGAGACCAAGAAGAGUGGAAGAAGUUUUUUGAAAUGUUUGGUGUCACCUCAUCUGUAGUACCCCCACGUAACUCAAGUGCCUAUUCACCAGAGGAACAAGAGGAAUGUCUUAAAGAUGCUUACAGGCAGCAAAUAGUAUACGGCACAGUGGGAGCCUUUGCAGCAGACACACUUAAACAGGAAUUUGAGAAGAGGACUACUCGCGAUACAAGGCAGUUUGAGCUUGUAAUAGUGGAUGAAGUGGACUAUAUGACCUUGGACAAUGGAGUUCAAGUAACAUUCUUGUCUCAUGAAUCUAGUGGAUUUAGGCAUGUGGAGCAAGUUCUUUCCAACAUAUGGACCAUGAUAUCUAGUUGCCAACCAAUUGAAAUGAUUGAAACAGGAGAGGUAAAAUGGGCCACAAGGAUACAACACUUUCAUAAAGCCACAACGGCAGCCAUUAUGGGACUAGAAACAUCUGAGAACUUUUCUGCAAAUGAGAUCUUGUUGCCCGGAGUCACUUUGGGAUUCUACACCCACGAAGAUAUUGAAAUGAUACAUCAAGCUGAGAGUAAGAAAGAAAAUGAAGGUGAUGGGAAUGAGGACAGAAUGUCCACAGCACUGUCUGAAGUCAUGAAAAAACUUGGAGUUUUACAACAGUACGAUCUCUUGGGUAUAUUUGAGGAGGUCUUGGAAAACAGUGUGGUGUUUAAGUGCUAUUCUUUAGAGAACAAGAAAGCCAAAUGUUUUGAAGCUCAGGAAAAAGAAGGUGACCUUAAAGUUGAAAUGCUACUGCUGGAAGGAGGACUGGCAUGUGAAAUUAUGUCUGAGAAACUGCUCAUUGAUGCAACUGUAAGCACAAUAAAGUCAUCUAUCAAGUACUCAGAUAACCUCCAGACAGCCAAACAAUCCAACAACUUCAUUAUCAUCCCUGUUUUCUUGAAAAGCUACGUUGAGAAUCAGUUACCGGUGUUUGUCAAGAAUGCACUAAAGGCUGUUGAGAUGACAUGUGGCAGAGAAUACAUGAUCGACACCUCGCCGGCUGCUGAAAGAGACAUCGCCAACAGUCAAGACAGAGACAAGUAUAAUGCAGUAAUUCCAGUGGACUUCAAAGCAAGCGGUGUGCUGGAGAAAAACAAGAAGUGGGGUAAUGGUCUGCAACAAUUUUUAGAGUUCAAGCACCAACUUGCAAUUUCACCGUUAUCCAAUGUGACAAAUUACUUGUCAAAUUUCCAUUAUUUUAAAAGGUACCUCAGCGGGAGAGGUAUAUUUGGUGUUUCUGGUACAUUAGGAGGUAAAGCAGAUCAGGACUUUCUGGCAAGACAUUAUAAAGCAACAAGCUACAUUGUACCUGCACAUCGCCAUAAAAGGGUGGUGGAGCUACCAGUCAUCCAGGUGAAAGGUGGAAAUCACCAAUGGAUCCAGACUAUUUGUGAAACUUCAUGGAAAGUAGCAGAGAGAGGACAAGUUGUCUUGGUAAUUUGCGAAGAUGUUAAAACAGCAGAUGAACUAUACAAGAAAAUACAAGAUGAAGAAUACGGAAUAAAGGCAGAACAGAUUACUCUGUAUACGAUCAGUGAAAGGCACAACAUUGAAAGAGAGAAAUUCUGUGCAGGCAGAAUCAUCAUUGCUACAAAUCUGGGAGGACGGGGGACAGACAUAAAGGUUGAUGAAAGUGUGAAUAAGUGUGGUGGUCUUUUUGUUCUUCUUACUCAUUUUCCACACAACCGAAGAGUUGAGAAACAAAUAUUUGGUCGUACGUCUCGAAAAGGCAAUCCGGGGAUGGUCCAGAUGGUUUUGAACUGUGAUCAUCUCGCACCCGCUUACCAAGGUCAGUCUGUAGAAAUCAUGCGCCAGCUAAGAGAGGAUUAUGAAAUUAAACGAAUCCAAGACAUGGAAAGUGAUGAGCUGGUUGAGAUAAACUUAAAGGAAAAUCUGUUCUCCGGGUUUUGUGAAUUGCUGAAAGAGUUUGAUGGGUAUUACUCAGAGAAAGAAAAACAAGACCCCAUGCGAAUGCAGCUCAAUGAUAUUCCUGAUUGCUUUAAACAUCAUCAGCCUAAGUUUGAUUAUCAGCCUGCCAUCAAUGCUUUGAAAGAAUCUUGGGCCUUGUGGUUAACCCUUCAUGAGGAUCACAUCAAUAGGCAUGAUGACUUCGGACAGCUUGAAGCAGACCUAAUCAGGACAAUAAAUGAAACAAGUGGAAAGCUGCUGCGAGGAGAAUGUGAUAAUUUCUAUGAUCACGUCAAACAGGCAAUUGUUAGAACUGAACUACACUGCCGUGAAAAAUCCAAAAAUGAUUAUGGAGCUAAAUCCUGUUGGCAAAAAGUUGCAAAUGCUGACCCACACUACAGGGCUGUGGCACUGUAUAACCAGGCGUACAUCACUAUUAACCUCGGUAAAGGUAACUAUAAAGCAGAUGCUAUGAACAUGCUGGAAGACGCAAAGAAAUCCAUUGAUGUCUACAUCUCAGAUGUCUCAAACACAAUGGUCUCAUGUAACUUAUCAGUCACUGGAAACAAAGAUCAGAGCACAGAGAGCAACAACUUUCAGAGUCAAAUGGAGGCCAGAAUGAACAUCUUUAAGUCUUGGAUGACAUACAUUGAUAAUGCAUUGAUUAAACUUAAAGAGCUAGAAAAAGAUGACAGUGAUGCCAUUACAGAGGAGUGUUCAGUCUACAUGCUGUCCGAAAAAAAGAACUUCAUCAUCACUAAUGAGCUGAGAUCCUUAUACGACUAUGGCCUCGGUGUUGUUUUUGAGGUGAAAAAGAAGCCCAAGUUUUGCAUAGAUGCUUUGAUAUGUUUCAUUCUUGGCAUGGUACAGGUUCUUGCUGGGGUUCUUGUUUGCGCGCUGACACUUGGAACAGCUACCCAGUUUGGAUUGGGCCUGAUUUCAGAAGGAGUGUCUGACAUGAUCAGUGGAAUAGAGGGGAUGAUAAAGGGUUCAUUCGAUUGGGCGUCAUGGGCAAUAUCUAAGAGUAUCAGCAUUGGGCUUUCUUUGAUAACGGCUGGCUUUAGCAACAUCAAGAAAGCAGUUACCUCAGUGUUUAAAGUGACAAAAAGUCUCCUCAAUGGUACAAAAUCUUUUUCUUCUGUUGCAUCUGAAUUCAUCAAAUCAGGAAAGGCAAUGUUUACUUCAUUCAAAGGAGGUGUUCAGUCUGGUUUAUCAUCUGUCAGUAAGGAAUCUUUUAAAUCUGCGAUGAAAAACAUGACAUCAUCUACAGUGCUCAAACAGAACUUCAAAUCUGCAACAAAAUAUGCAGUCCAGGAAAUCGGAAAACAGUCUGUGCUCACUGCCAUGAACUACGCAAUGGAUAAAGCACUUCAGGAAGUCUUUAAGAAGAUUUUACAAAGCAGCUUUGAGAAUGUUGUUACUUCAUCGGUGAAGCAGAGCAGUAAACUCAAUCAGACUCUUGUGGAGUUUAUCAGCUCAGGCAUUCCGAAAGCUGCAUUGAAAAAAGAGAAUUUCAAGUUUGACCAGGCUUAUGAGAAGCAAAUAAAAAAAACAGUUGGUAUGCUCUGUGAAGUGGUAAUUCCUGACCUGAUACUGGACUGUACCACAGCACAGGAUGUUAUCAGCAAACUCUCUGAGGUGUGUGAAAAAGCAGAAGAGCUUAUGAAUAAAGCCAAACUGUCAGGAGUGUACGAAAUGACAAAGCUGGCUCUGAAAGUAGCUGAGUGCUCAGCAGGUCUUACUCAAAUAUUGGGUGCCAUACCAACAGAAGAGAUAAUACAACAGAUAUUUGUUCCUGAAUUAUUGGAGAAUAUCAGUGAGCUUCAGAAUGAAAUGACAAAAUAUGACCAAGAUGGACGACACAAUUUACAUGAUGUACAGCGCCUUAAAGGUGAACUUCUACAGACUAUCGCCCAGAAGGUGUCUGACCAAUUCAUCAGUUCCUGCUCUGAACAUAUAUCUUCUUUAAUGACAAGCACAUUUAAGAGUCACUUGAACAGUGCUGCAGGAAAGGCGCUGGACCACGUCAUGCGCAGACAUAAAACUCAGCGCUUCUUUGAUGACCAGAGGGAAAAACACAACAAGAGAUCUGCGAGCCACAAGGAAGUGGAACAGCUGUCAGAUGAGGACAAAACAGAGCUAAAGCAGUAUACAGAAGAUAUGUGCAAAGCUGAUCAGCCGACUACAGCCCUCGAUGUGUACGUGCUCACAAAAAGCAACCUGCUCGGUGGAAAAGGAAUUGAACUCACUGUCGUUGAUGAAAAUGGAAAACAGCUCACUGUGGAACGUUACCCAGGAACCAACAAAUCAGCAGGCAAUAUAAAAUUGAAAUUAACCAAACCUGCAAAAUCCAUACAUCCAUCACAAGCUGAUACACAGCUGUACAGUGGCCGUUUUGACAUUGUACAGGAUGAUGACAGGAUAGUCAGCGUUAACUCGGAUCAUCAGAACGCUCUUUAUCAUGCUGUAGCACAAGCAACUGGCAGCGAGACAAAGGACCUAAAUGUGGAAGCUUUGAUGCUACGUAAAAAAGUGAAAAAUGAGAUCUACUCAUAUUUACUGAUGUACUGAAAUCACUGGAUCAGGAUCGGGAGAAGUCCACGAGCAGAGGCUCAAACCUGGGAUGCCCAUAGCUCAACGGCGCUAUAUGUUGGCACAGUGCCCACGAGGCUAUCAGUGCGGACAUGAAUCUGCUUUCUAACAACAGUUGUUUAUCACUAAUGCGCAAUCAUCACUUAAUUAAUCAAUUAAUUAUCUCAUUUACUGCAGUUGCUUCGCUCUGUAGAUUGGACCCAUAUAGACACUGAGUAGUGUUUAUUGAACAGAGGAGUUUGCAGUGUAUCACAUCGUUACUUGAAUCUCCAAGGGGAUUAAUUACUAACAUACUAACAUAGGGUGUCCUCUGGGUACUCUGGUUUCCUUCCCCAGUCUAAAGACAUACGAUGCAGGUUGAUCAGUGUCUCUAAAUUAUCCGUAGUGUGUAACAUAUAUAUGUGAUUGUGUCCUGCACCCUGCCUUGUAACCCAAGUGUCCUGCGAUAGGUUCCAGGCUUCCUGCGACCCUGUGUAGAGUAAGUGGUACAGAAAAUGGAUGUAUGAAAACUCAAUUCCCAGCCAAUCAGUGUACAGUGUUACUCAGUCUGCAACAGAGGCUAGAGGAAGCUCACCUGUGCUCUAAAUUAGCUAACUAGCUCAAAUAAGCAUAUUUCAUGCUAAUUUAAUUCUUUCAAAUUCUCAUUCUCUCUGCGCAGUGUUGUAAGUGCUCGGAGGUCCAGUAAGAACACCACAGGGACACUUAACACAAGCCACAUUCCACCGAAGGACUCCAUCAGACUUGCUGCGUUUGUCAUAGAUAACCCAAACUCAGUGAGUGAGCUUAAAAAUAAAAACCUGCCGCUUUAUAAACUAAUCA